UACGGAGGGGGCUAGCGUUGUUCGGAAUUACUGGUCAUAAAGCGCACGUAGGCGGCUUUGUAAGUUAGAGGUGAAAGCCAGGAGCUUAACUCAAGAACUGCCGUUAAGACUGCAUCGCUUGAAUCCGGGAGAGGUGAGUGGAAUUCCGAGUGUAGAGGUGAAAUUCGUAGAUAUUCGGAAGAACACCAGUGGCGAAGGCGGCUCACUAGACCGGUAUUGACGCUGAGGUGCGAAAGCGUGGGGAGCAAACAGG
rnacentral:rRNA from 1 species